rnacentral:rRNA from 1 species
UGGGGAAUAUUGGACAAUGGGCGGAAGCCUGAUCCAGCAACGCCGCGUGAGGGAUGACGGCCUUCGGGUUGUAAACCUCUUUCAGCGGGGGCGAAGUUUUGUCUUUUUGGGCGAAGUGACGGUACCCGCAGAAGAAGCACCGGCCAACUACGUGCCAGCAGCCGCGGUAAUACGUAGGGUGCGAGCGUUGUCCGGAAUUAUUGGGCGUAAAGGGCUCGUAGGCGGUUUGUCACGUCGGGAGUGAAAACUCGGGGCUUAACCCCGAGCCUGCUUCCGAUACGGGCUGACUAGAGGUAUGCAGGGGAGAACGGAAUUCCUGGUGUAGCGGUGAAAUGCGCAGAUAUCAGGAGGAACACCGGUGGCGAAGGCGGUUCUCUGGGCAUUACCUGACGCUGAGGAGCGAAAGUGUGGGGAGCGAACAG